rnacentral:rRNA from 1 species
CCUACGGGUGGCAGCAGUGAGGAAUUUUGGUCAAUGGACGAGAGUCUGAACCAGCCACGUAGCGUGAAGGAUGACUGCCCUAUGGGUUGUAAACUUCUUUUAUAUGGGAAUAAAAUGUUACACGUGUGGGAUUUUGUAUGUACCAUAUGAAUACGGAUCGGCUAACUCCGUGCCAGCAGCCGCGGUAAUACGGAGGAGCCGAGCGUUAUCCGGAUUUAUUGGGUUUAAAGGGAGCGUAGGUUGAUUGUUAAGUCAGUUGUGAAAGUUUGCGGCUCAACCGUAAAAUUGCAGUUGAAACUGGCAGUCUAGAGUACAGUAGAGGGGGGCGGAAUUCGUGGUGUAGCGGUGAAAUGCGUAGAUAUCACGAAGAACUCCGAUGGCGAAGGCAGGUCACUGGACUGCAACUGACACUGAGGCUCGAAAGUGUGGGUAUCAAACAGGAUUAGAUACCCUAGUAGUC